rnacentral:rRNA from 1 species
GUGGGGAAUAUUGGACAAUGGGCGAAAGCCUGAUCCAGCCAUGCCGCGUGUGUGAAGAAGGUCUUCGGAUUGUAAAGCACUUUAAGUUGGGAGGAAGGGCAGUAAGUUAAUACCUUGCUGUUUUGACGUUACCGACAGAAUAAGCACCGGCUAACUUCGUGCCAGCAGCCGCGGUAAUACGAAGGGUGCAAGCGUUAAUCGGAAUUACUGGGCGUAAAGCGCGCGUAGGUGGUUUUGUAAGUUGGAGGUGAAAUCCCCGGGAUCAACCUGGGAACUUCCUCCAAAACUGCAUGACUAGAGUACGGUAGAGGGUAGUGGAAUUUCCUGUGUAGCGGUGAAAUGCGUAGAUAUAGGAAGGAACACCAGUGGCGAAGGCGACUACCUGGACUGAUACUGACACUGAGGUGCGAAAGCGUGGGGAGCAAACAGGAUUAGAUACCCCGGUAGUCC